rnacentral:rRNA from 1 species
UACGGAGGGGGCUAGCGUUGUUCGGAAUUACUGGGCGUAAAGCGCACGUAGGCGGCUUCGCAAGUCAGGGGUGAAAGCCCGGGGCUCAACCCCGGAACUGCCUUUGAGACUGCGUCGCUUGAAUCCGGGAGAGGCGGGUGGAAUUUCCGGUGUAGCGGUGAAAUUCGUAGAUAUCCGGAAGAACACCAGUGGCGAAGGCGGCCCGCUGGACCGGUAUUGACGAUGAGGUGCGAAAGCGUGGGGAGCAAACAGG